rnacentral:rRNA from 1 species
GACGAACGCUGGCGGCGUGCUUAACAUAUGCAAGUCGAACGGAAAGGCCCUGCUUUUGUGGGGUGCUCGAGUGGCGAACGGGUGAGUAACACGUGAGUAACCUGCCCUUGACUUUGGGAUAACUUCAGGAAACUGGGGCUAAUACCGGAUAGGAGCUCCUGCUGCAUGGUGGGGGUUGGAAAGUUUCGGCGGUUGGGGAUGUACUCGCGGCUUAUCAGCUUGUUGGUGGGGUAGUGGCUUACCAAGGCUUUGACGGGUAGCCGGCCUGAGAGGGUGACCGGCCACAUUGGGACUGAGAUACGGCCCAGAAUCCUACGGGAGGCAGCAGUGGGGAAUAUUGCACAAUGGGCGGAAGCCUGAUGCAGCAACGCCGCGUGCGGGAUGACGGCCUUCGGGUUGUAAACCGCUUUCGCCUGUGACGAAGCGUGAGUGACGGUAAUGGGUAAAGAAGCACCGGCUAACUACGUG